rnacentral:rRNA from 1 species
AGAGUUUGAUCCUGGCUCAGGAUGAACGCUGGCGGCGUGCCUAACACAUGCAAGUCGAGCGAUUUACUUCGGUAAAGAGCGGCGGACGGGUGAGUAACGCGUGGGUAACCUGCCUCAUACACAUGGAUAACAUACCGAAAGGUAUGCUAAUACAAGAUGAUAUAAGAGAUUCACAUGGAUUUCUUAUCAAAGCUCCGGCGGUAUGAGAUGGACCCGCGUCUGAUUAGCUAGUUGGUAAGGUAACGGCUUACCAAGGCGACGAUCAGUAGCCGACCUGAGAGGGUGAUCGGCCACAUUGGAACUGAGACACGGUCCAAACUCCUACGGGAGGCAGCAGUGGGGAAUAUUGCACAAUGGGCGAAAGCCUGAUGCAGCAACGCCGCGUGAGCGAUGAAGGCCUUCGGGUCGUAAAGCUCUGUCCUCAAGGAAGAUGAUGACGGUACUUGAGGAGGAAGCCCCGGCUAACUACGUGCCAGCAGCCGCGGUAAUACGUAGGGGGCUAGCGUUAUCCGGAUUUACUGGGCGUAAAGGGUGCGUAGGUGGUUUCUUAAGUCAGGAGUGAAAGGCUACGGCUCAACCGUAGUAAGCUCUUGAAACUGGGAAACUUGAGUGCAGGAGAGGAAAGUGGAAUUCCUAGUGUAGCGGUGAAAUGCGUAGAUAUUAGGAGGAACACCAGUAGCGAAGGCGGCUUUCUGGACUGUAACUGACACUGAGGCACGAAAGCGUGGGGAGCAAACAGGAUUAGAUACCCUGGUAGUCCACGCCGUAAACGAUGAGUACUAGGUGUCGGGGGUUACCCCCCUCGGUGCCGCAGCUAACGCAUCAAGUACUCCGCCUGGGGAGUACGCUCGCAAGAGUGAAACUCAAAGGAAUUGACGG